GACGAACGCUGGCGGCGUGCUUAACACAUGCAAGUCGAACGGAAAGGCCUGCUUUCCCUUGUGGAUUGCGGGUACUCGCGUGGCGAACGGGUGAGUAACACGUGAGUGAUCUGCCCCCAACUUGGGUAUAAGCCUGGGAAACUGGGUCUAAUUCCCGAUAGGACUGCAGGGUGGUGCCUGUGGUGGAAAACGAUUUUCUAGUGGUUGGGGAUGAGCUCGCGGCCUAUCAGCUUGUUGGUGGGGUAAUGGCCUACCAAGGCGGCGACGGGUAGCCGGCCUGGGAGGGUGGACGGCCACAGUGGGACUGAGAGACGGCCCAGACUCCUACGGGAGGCAGCAGUGGGGAAUAUGGCACAAUGGGCGGAGGCCUGAUGCAGCGACGCCGCGUGGGGGAUGACGGCCUUCGGGUUGUAAACUCCUUUCGACCGCGAGGAAGCCACCUGGUUGGAAGGGUGGUGACGGUAGUGGUAGAAGAAGCACCGGCUAACUACGUG
rnacentral:rRNA from 1 species